rnacentral:lncRNA from 1 species
GGAAGCAGUUGUGGCCGCGGCGGCGCGCGCUGCGAGACAGGAUUGAUUCCCCGCGGCCAGCUGCGCGCAACCCAAGGGAAGAGUCCCUUGCCUCUGCAAGUCUCUGGGAUUGCGCUGGGUUAGUGGCAAGAGGCGCGACCGCCGGUGGGGCGAAGGCCCCAAGGCCCCGGCGGCCUCGAGGUGGCUUGUUUGGGCUAGCGGGGCCUGCCCAGCCCCUCCGCCCCCAGUACCCGGGCUGGAAAUGUGAAUUCAAGGCUGCACCCGCCCUGGUCACCUCUAACUGCCAGGGUGACAGUUCCAAAGGUGAAAUCCUUGAAUCCUUAAGCUGUUAUAUAUUCCCUUGAUGAGUGCAUAUCACUAAAGCAAAUGCUUGAAUCUCAGAGUUAACCAGCUGGAAGGGUCGGUAUUUCAGCACGUCACUUUCCAGGAUACUCCCACCUAGGGAUUGCAGUCAUGGGAAAUCUAACACCUAGCUCCAGGAUGAAUGCUGUAACCUUUAUGGGACUAAUCGAGUGGAAUUAUUUGAUAGUCCUGAAGAAGAACUGGACUGUAUCCUCUGCAAGAAAAGUCUACUGGCUACACAGAUGUCUCAUCUCAGCUCUUUCAGGGCUGGCUUAAGUUUGGAGAAGAGGAAGCAUACUCCUGAAGAUGUCCCAGAAAGUCCAUAUGGUUGAGUUUCCCAUGUUUGCAUCAUGUUGGAAGCUGGUAAAACAAUUUGCUAUACUCUGAUGUGCAUGGAGGCUUCAUCAUCAUCAUCAAGUGUCAUAACUUUAAAGACUUGACAGAUUCAUUUACUCAUGUAUUUAUAUAUUGAUGUAGUACCGUGUUAGAUAUUGGACAGCCACAGAGUCAGCUUUAAGUAGUUGCCAUCACUGUAGGGAAGAUAAAAGUCAGGCAAGUCUGUGAGUAUAUCAAACAGAAUAUGUCUGGGGCCAGGUACAUGCCUUGAGCCGGCUCAAGUGCUUUCUAAACAUAAGCUGAUACUACAAACAAAUAAACAAACAAAAAAUCAUCGUAGCAAAAGAUGUACAAAAAGUCCCGGGGAUUCUAAGACAAGUAGGAAAGAUUAUAGCAUGAUGGUGUUGUCUAGGGGAAAAAUCAACUCUUCAAGCUUGUGCUAAAUCAUUGAUUAAUAUCAGAUUUUAGAAACCCAAGGGCAACUUUGCAUGAGACUGUUGGUUGUAUUGCCAUUAUGUCAACAUCUUGCUAUUUCUAUGCUCAAAAAAAGUGAUCUUUUAAUAAACCAAGGACAUUUCUCAUAUUUCACCCUCCAUUUUACAUGCUCUGUUAUAGAUAAAAUUGUCACCUUAUUCCAAAAGUAUAGCUGAUGAAUUAUUAUAGCCAUCUCUAAAGAUGAGAUGAACCAGGGGAACAUACCAGAAAUGAGUUUGAGCUUAGUAACUUUGUACAAGUUAAUGUUUUUGAGCUUCAGUUUCUUCCUCUAUAUAAUGCCUGCUUGGUUCAUAAAGUUUAUUACAUGAAUCAAAUGAUAAUAAAUGUAAAUGCAUUUGGAAAACUGUAAAGUUGCAUUUAAAUGUGAGUAUGAUUAUGUCUAUUUACUCUUGUAAUUUUGUAGAUAUUUUAACAUCCCUCAUUAGUUUACUUAAAAAAAUCCUUGAAGAUUCUCUAGAUUAAUUUGCGGUUAUUUGAUUAAUCUUUCCAAAAUAUUUUAUAGCAACUUUAAUGUGAUUGUAUUUCUUUAUAUUAAUUUUGGAAGGAUUGAUGUCUUGACCACAACAGGUGUUUUAAUUUAGUAACAUGAUAUGUUGAUCUACUAUUGAUUCAUUUUAGCGUAUUUAUUAUUUCAUUUAUUGUAUUCUUCAACUCUAUUUUCUAACCUAUUGUUCAAGUUCUCUUUUGUGUUCAUCCAUUCUUCUUCCAAAUAUGUUGAGUUUCUUUAUGCUCAUUACCUUGAACUCUUUAUUGGUAGUUUGGUCAUAUCUACUUGUUUAGUUAUUUUUAUGAGGUUUUGUCUUAUUCCUUCAUUUGGAACAUAUCUCAUUUUGCUUAAUUUUCUGUGUUUAUUUCUAUGUAUUAGAUGGGCUGGUUAUGUUUCUCAAUGUUGGAGAAGUGGCCUAUGUGGAGACAUUUUAGGGGCUGAGCAGAACACUCCCCUCUGGUUACCAGGGCUGUAUGCUGUAGGAGUGCUCCCUCUGUGGGCUGUUGGGUCCUUCUAUCAUGGUUUGGUGGCUAUUGUGGGCAUGCUGCUAGGUGGGGCUGGCCUCUAGCCUGGUUGGUUGCCAGGCCCUGUGUUGUGCGGUAGCUGCUGGCCCACUGGUGGGCAGGGUUGCAUCAGUACUGCUGGCUUGGAUUUUUAGACAUCUUUAACAGGAGGGUCCAUCUGAUUCACUUAAACUUUUAUUAUAAGCAGUUGAAAUUCCAUUCAAGCUUUUAGAGCAUGAGAUGGCAUAAUUUGGUAUCAAGUUAAAAAAUAUUGCAUUAGCUGUUGUGUGGAUGUUGGAUGCAGGGUAAGAGCAGGAGCAAGGAGACCAGUAAAGAGGCCUGGCAGUUAAACAGAUGAGAGGUAAAGGGGAUUUGGGCGAGGAUGGGUGAGAUGGAGAGAAGUUAUAUAGAUUUAUUUCUGAAAUAACGAAGUAGAUUUAUUUCUGAAAUACCAGGACUUUAUCUUAGACUAUAAAUGAUUUAAAAGGGUGGCUUUAAGGGUGACUUCUAUAAUUUGGCUUUGGUAACUCAGUGGAGAUUGUGCCAUUCACAUUAUAGAAAUGUAAUGCUGCUAACUUCCACACACAGGAAAAAGUGGGUAUGUCAAGAAAAUGGCUGGAUGUGAGCCCAGAAUUCAGGGGAGAGAUGAAGAGAUGCAAAUUUGGGGCUCUUCAGCAUAGAGGUGACACUUAGAGCUAGGGAUGGGUUAUAUAACCUGGGGAGAAAACAUGUGAAAGAAGAGGAAAGGUCUGGAACUUCCCUGAGGAAUUCCGACAUGCAAAAUUCAGGUGGAAGAGGGGGAGUCUUUGAGAGAAAAUACGAAAGACUUGUUCAGGGAGGUAAUAGGAAAAUCAACAAAAUAGGGAGCUGCUGAAAGAAAAGAUGAACUGAAGGAGAAUUGAGAGGCUAUUUCAAAGGAUUUUAACAGAUCAAGUAAUUAAUACAAGAGAAAA